GAUGAACGCUGGCGGCGUGCUUAAUACAUGCAAGUCGAGCGAACAGACGAGGAGCUUGUUCCUCUGACGGGAGCGGCGGACGGGUGAGGAACAAGUGGAUAACCUACUUAUAAGACUGGGAUAACAUCGGGAAACCGGAGCUGAUAACGCGGAAUAUAUUGAACCGCAUGGUUCAAGAGUGUAAGACGGUUUUGCUGUCACUUAUAGAUGGAUCCGCGCCGCAUUAGCUAGUUGGUAAGGUAACGGCUUACCAAGGCAACGAUGCGUAGCCGACCUGAGAGGGUGGUGGGCGACACUAGAACUGAGACGCGGUCCAGACUCCUACGGGAGGCGGCAGUAGGGAGUCUUCCGCCAUGGGCGAAGGCUUGCCGGAGCAGCGCCGCGUGGGUGAUGAUGGUCUUCUUAUCGUAGAGCUCUGUUAUUGGGGGUGAAGAAAUGUGUAAGUGACUAUGCACGUCUUGACGGUACCUGAUCAGAAAGCCACGGCUAACUACGUG
rnacentral:rRNA from 1 species